UACGUAGGGUGCAAGCGUUGUCCGGAGUUAUUGGGCGUAAAGAGCUCGUAGGCGGUUCGUCACGUCGGCUGUGAAAUCCCGAGGCUCAACCUCGGGUCUGCAGUCGAUACGGGCGGACUGGAGUACUGCAGGGGAGACUGGAAUUCCUGGUGUAGCGGUGAAAUGCGCAGAUAUCAGGAGGAACACCGGUGGCGAAGGCGGGUCUCUGGGCAGUAACUGACGCUGAGGAGCGAAAGCGUGGGGAGCGAACAGG
rnacentral:rRNA from 1 species